rnacentral:rRNA from 1 species
AUCUGCCUUUUGGUUCGGAAUAACCCCGGGAAACUGGGGCUAAUACCGGAUGGUUCCUACGGGAUAAAGAUUUAUCGCCAAAAGAUGAGUCCGCGUACGAUUAGCUAGUUGGUGAGGUAAUGGCUCACCAAGGCGACGAUCGUUAGCUGGUCUGAGAGGACGAUCAGCCACACUGGGACUGAGACACGGCCCAGACUCCUACGGGAGGCAGCAGUGGGGAAUAUUGGACAAUGGGGGCAACCCUGAUCCAGCCAUGCCGCGUGAGUGAUGAAGGCCUUCGGGUUGUAAAGCUCUUUUGGCGGGGACGAUGAUGACGGUACCCGCAGAAUAAGCCCCGGCUAACUUCGUGCCAGCAGCCGCGGUAAGACGAAGGGGGCUAGCGUUGUUCGGAAUUACUGGGCGUAAAGCGAGUGUAGGCGGUUGCCGUAGUCAGGUGUGAAAGCCUUGAGCUCAACUCAAGAAAUGCACUUGAUACUGGGUGACUAGAGGACCGGAGAGGAUAGUGGAAUUCCCAGUGUAGUGGUGAAAUACGUAGAGAUUGGGAAGAACACCAGUGGCGAAGGCGGCUAUCUGGACGGUUACUGACGCUAAGACUCGAAAGCGUGGGGGAGCAAACAGGAUUAGAUACCCUGGUAGUCCACGCCGUAAACGAUGGGUGCUAGACGUUGGCGAGCUUGCUCGUCAGUGUCGCAGCUAAC